UACGUAGGGUGCAAGCGUGUCCGGAAUUAUUGGGCGUAAAGAGCUCGUAGGCGGCUUGUCACGUCGCUGUGAAAACCCGGGGCUCAACUCCGGGCCUGCAGUCGAUACGGGCUGGCUUGAGUGCGGUAGGGGAGACUGGAAUUCCUGGUGUAGCGGUGAAAUGCGCAGAUAUCAGGAGGAACACCGGUGGCGAAGGCGGGUCUCUGGGCCGUAACUGGACGCUGAGGAGCGAAAAGCGUGGGG
rnacentral:rRNA from 1 species